GGGGCCUGGACCCCUCUUGAGGGGCUGGUUGCAGAGACCCCGCCCCUCCCCGCACUGAGCAGUAGCCUGCCCCCGCCACUCUUAGCCAAGACAGGCAGCCCUCACGGGGCCGGGCCUCGUAAGUGCGCCUGCGCGAUUCCCGCCUGGUAGGUGUCGUCAAUGAUGGAUGCCAGGGGGCGAGGAAUAACCACAGUCCACCUCACUCCGGAUAUGUGAGUCAGUGCUUCUAGUGCCCGCUCAGCCGAUGCUGCUAGCACGGAGUCCGCGAUCCUGAAGCACCCGCUUUGCUGGCCUGAACAUGGUGUGCACAUACCCAGCUCUUGACUACCAAAACUCCCAUCUGAGCAAGGGAUCUCGUGGCGGCCAGAGGAAAUGCUCCAAGGGCUCGUUGAAGGCUACCUCAAGAGAAUGGAUGGCCACAUCAAGAUCUAGGAGCCAUCUACUGACCAACUCUAAUGGCACCCUAACCUCAACCAAGCAGCAGCCUGUUUAGACCAGUGGUCUCCAACCUUUUUAAGUAGAUCACUUUUGGCAUUUAAAAGCAACCCAAGAUCUACCAUGCGCUGCCACCCUCCCACAGCCCAGCAGGACAAACCGCCAGUUUUUCUCUCUGUUACACAGACUUCUCGACUGCUGUGUCAAGAGUCUCUGGAUCCAGGAUCCUAUGGGCAAGCCAGAAUGAAUGCACUUCUACCAGCACACCUGGUUGGAAGCAGAAAAAGUAAAUUUCUCUCUCUCAAAGACUAAAAUUGAAUUGACAAUAACAACCGUCAAAGAAAUGAUGGAAUUGAGUGUUUCAGACAUUUUAUGCAGAUAAAGGUUUUGUCCUUGUUGUUUACAUGAACAUCAUGCAGCCUUUUUAAUAUGAUGACUCUGUGUUGCAGUUCACGUGAACCGGAGAUGUAAACAACACAGCCUCCUAUACGGAAAAAAGGGUGACUGACUGAAAAAUAUAGCAGGAUCCCGAUAGCAGCGUGUUGUCACGCCUGAAGGAAAAUCAAGUGACUGUUCUAGACUAAUUACUAACUGAAAGCAAGAGCAGCCAGCUAUAAGGAAAUAAAUAAUUAAAAUUGCCAUUAACUUAAAGAAUACAAUGAACAGACACUGAGUUGAACAAAAAAUGAUGGAAGCAACAGGUUCCCUUUUUUUUUGCAAUUUCUUAGUUGGUCUAAUCAAAGGUAUCAUCUCUGAACCAAGAUGAUACCUAGUUUUGCUUAUCUAGCCAGAGCAGAGCAAUACAGCCUUGCCAGGGCCAUUGGAGCUGAGCUGCCUUGCUUCCAUUCCUACACUGAGGAAAGCACCAUUCUAGUAGUCCUACAUCUUCCCCAUGUAGAGAUUGCAUUUUUCUAAACUUUCUGUUUCUUGGAACCCUUAGAGCAGGGGUUCUCAAACUUUGAGAUACCAUGACCCCCUGGUGGCUGAUCAAUGAGCAACAGGGUCCCCUGCGUGGAUUUGCAACCUCCCUUUUAAAGUUGCUCCUGACCCCUGUGGGAGUUGUGACCCACAGUUUGAGAACCGCUGCCUUACGGUAUCAUAGUUCAACAUAUAAGCAACUUGCAGAGGUGAAUAUCUAAUUACAGUGGAAUCUGGUUAAUAAGUCACCGGGGUAACUCAUCACUGUUUCAUUAAGUUGAUAUACUGAAUCUUUGCAAAAGUCCUAUCAAUUCAUAGGAAAAACAACUUCAGCAAAUUUAUCCUCUCUUAGUAUACUCAUUUAAAAAGUGUAGAGGCAUACUGUACUAAAGUCACAGUGGACAUUUGCUCCUGAAAAUUAGUUGGUUUGAAAGGCAUCUCUAGCAACCCUCAAGUCAGCUGAUGUUCUCAAAGCAUUGGAUACUCGACCAUUUCAUUUUGUAGAUUUACCAGUUUUGGUGAUGAGUGGAUAUAAGAAAGCAAAGCAAAAAACCUUUGUUUUAUUCCAUCAUAAUCAUGUAAUUCUUAUAUAAUAAGCACUCUGAAUUUUUACUAAGAAAUUGUAUAUUAAACAUUUCUUUGUAGUAUUACUCAGCUCUGAGUGAGCCAGAGUGUAUAUUUUACGCUUAGAAUUCUUCAUUGUAAAUGUCAAAGAUGCCUCAGGCACGCAAAAUAAAUGUGGUUGUGUAUACUGUUAAAAGAUAUUCUGAAACCUGAAGAUUCAAAGUAGAAUCUUGAAAUAUUUCAUUCAGAUGCAAAGGUAAUUAUGAAGCUACACCAUGACAAAAUAGGAGUUGGAAUAGCAGCCAUCUUACAGAUUUAAAAGUGACCUGUAAAUUAUAUUUGAGCAAUCAGGGCUAUGCUACUUUGUUAAACAAAUGCACCAUAUUUUUUUACCUUAAGACCUUAGAAAAAUAGGGCUGAAAGAGACUUCAGGAGAUCAACUAUCCAAGCUUCCUGCUCAAGGAGGGAGAUCUCCACCUAAAUUAUCAUUUCAGCCAAGAUUAAGAAUAUCAAUUCUAUAUUUCUCUGCUUUGGCUCCAGAGACUAAUAUUAUUAAUCUCCUACUUUAAUAGAAAGGGCAAGAGCAUCAAAUGUUAGGUGAUUAAAAGCUCUUGACAGUGACUAAAAACACUUUCUAUUUUGUUGACCUUUCAUACUUGUAGGCCCCUUUUAACGUAAUUCACACCAAACCUGAAUUAUAAUGAGAUAUAUAUAUAUCUGCUCCUUUUCUAUCACAACGCUAAUAAACUGUAUAUAAUUUAAUUUUCUUUUUAGCAGUCCUCUAACAGUUACAAACAAGAUGUUUUGUGUUCCAUAUCAACACCUAAUUGUUGAAAAGUAUUUAACCGAAAUUGUAUACUAAACUUUUAAGGAAAAUUCUGUUUGAAGCUCCAGAUUAAUCUACCACAUACACCUUAAUCUAAAUAAGAUGACAGAUGGGACACUUGACUAACAUGCCCCUAUAUCAUACUAGGUGCCUUUUAAUUAAAUAAAAAGAGCACAAUAAUCCAAAUCUUUUAAAAUACAUUUUAUUAAUCUAUUUGAUGAUAAUUUAAAAAAAUUAAAUAUUUAAAUCUUAUGCAGUGAGGUGGAAACUUCAAAUGACCAAACACUCCGAAUUACCAUUUUGCUGCAGUAUACACAGGAACAGUUUAUUUUAGGAGUUACUUCUAACGUGAUCCUUGAGUUACAGAACAGUUUCUUGAGAGCAUGUUGAACUCUGACAAUACGUUUCACAUAUAUCAAUGUGAUAUACAAAAAAAAAAAAAAAAUUAAAAAAAAAGAAAUAAAGAAAAAAAAA